GCGGAGGGAUCAUUACCGAGUUUACAACUCCCAAACCCAUGCUGAACAUACCUAUUGUUGCUUCGGCGGGAUUGCCCCGGGCGCCUCGCGUGCCCCGGAUCAGGCGCCCGCCUAGGAAACUUAACUCUUGUUUUAUUUGGAAUCUUCUGAGUAGUUUUUACAAAUAAAUAAAAACUUUCAACAACGGAUCUCUUGGUUCUGGCAUCGAUGAAGAACGCAGCGAAAUGCGAUAAGUAAUGUGAAUUGCAGAAUUCAGUGAAUCAUCGAAUCUUUGAACGCACAUUGCGCCCGCCAGGUAUUCUGGCGGGCAUGCCUGUCUGAGCGUCAUUUCAACCCUCAUGCCCNUAGGGNGUGGUGUUGGGGAUCGGCCAAAGCCCGCGAGGGACGGCCGGCCCCUAAAUCUAGUGGCGGACCCGUCGUGGCCUCCUCUGCGAAGUAGUGAUAUUCCGCAUCGGAGAGCGACGAGCCCCUGCCGUUAAACCCCCAACUUUCCAAGGUUGACCUCAGAUCAGGUAG
rnacentral:rRNA from 1 species